AUUCUCCAGCGUCUCCUCGUCCCUUCCUGCCUGAGGAACCGUGACAGCUGUGAGUUUAACACUGUUUAUCAUAACAGACACAAUAACUACAAUGACAUUCAUCAUCUUCUUCUCGAUCUUGGGAAUGUAUUUUCAAUGUUCUGCAGGACAGGUGACUGUAAUUCAGACUCCAACAGAGAAACAUGUUCAGAACAAAGAUACAGUCACUCUGACCUGUAAAACCAGCAGCUCCAUUGGACGUCAGUCAGACGGUUGGUGUAAGUCUUGUCUCUCCUGGUACCUACAGAAACCUGGAGAAGCUCCUAAACUUUUAGUUCACAACAUCAAAACCCUUCAUACUGGAACUCCAUCUAGAUUCAGUGGAAAUGGAGCUGAUAAUGGAACUGACUUCACUCUGACCAUCAGUGGAGUCCAGACUGAAGAGACAGGAGAUUAUUACUGUCUGAGUGCACAUGUGAUCAACAGUAAAGAUGUGUUCACACAGUGAUAAAGAGUCGUACAAAAACCUCCGUCAGUCAGAGUCACAGUGACUGCACUGAUACAGCUGAGAGAUACUGCAGCUGCUGAUGGCAGGACGACUAAAAACAAAAUCAAAAAAUGUAUCAAACAUUUCAGAGACUAUUAAUUUUUCAUAUAUGAUAUAAUUGUAAAGCAUCAGGCAGAGAGUGAGGGU